CACCCCUACGGAGACUGUUCGCACGCCUCCUGACCCGGGGAAGAGGAGGAAAUGGCGGCGACGGAGGCAUGCGUGGAGGCAAUGGCGGAGAUGCGCGCAUGCAGCUCCGACACCCAGGAAGUUUUGGGAGCACGAGGCGUGGUCUGUGCGGAUGGGGAGAGAUUGGAAGGCUCCAGGCGAGAGGAGCUUUGCCACGGCGAAAGGGGAUAGGAUUUGCUCCAUGCUGACCGCUCGGGACUGAGGAGAGGAGAAGUGGGGAAAUUUCGAUGUGGGUGAGUGGGAAAUUUUUCAAUCCCUAAGAUGGAACAGCUGGUGAGGCCUGGGGUUAAGGCCCUUCCAAGUUUCAAAUUCCCAUGGUUGGAGACUUGGAGUUGAAACUUAGAAAGCAGUAACUCUGUUGCUCUGAUGGAUGGAUUUAGCGUAUGAUAUGGUGGUCACGGUGCAACUAGAUUGUUUGGAGGUUUGCAUUUCUCCUGUUUGUUAGGUCUCGAGAUCACUCGGGAUUCUAUCCCUGGAUGUACUGAGAAAGGAGGAGGUUUGAUAGUAGCCAAUAGUUACUUAAGGAUUAGCAUUCCUACUGUUGUGUGAGGUCAAUGUGCUGGACAAAAGAACAAAUGUUAAUGCAAAGAUGGAUAAAACUAACAAGCAUCUAGCAUGUAAGAUUUAGUUUUUGCAACUAGUUGGAUCCUUGGAUGCUUUUCAUGUAUGGAAUUCCCUAAGAAAGAAAUCUGAAUUUUAAGUGCUCAACCGCAUUAUUCUCCACAGUUCUUUUAUCUCUUUUCAUUGAUUAAGUAACUUCCUUGAAAUAAAAUUCGAGUUAUGCAUUUGAAUGGAAUCAAGAUACAUUUGUAUUUAUGUAACGGCAGAACUUCUCUUCUUCACUUGCUCACCUGCCAUUCAGUCCUGGGUAGUAUGCUAGUAAAACCAAUACAUUAUCCUGAGAUGGUUAACCGAGUUAAGUGCUGAGCGUUGUAUUUAUUGCUCAAGAGUAAUGCUACUUCUCAAUUGUUUUAUUAUAUAUGAGUCCACUUGUACAUAGAUUUUUUUGUAAUAGGGGAGCAACAGUUUUGAGAUGAAUCGGUUAUGAUAGGGCGUGCUAGCAUUUGUUUUUGCAUUUGGAUCAGAUAAUCCUGGUAGUAUCCAGGCCAGAAACACUGUUCAGAUUUCUUCUGCCGAAGUGAGUUUCUCAACUCAUGAAAUCAGGAUUGUGAACUGUUGACGGUUCUUGAUGAAACAAUAAGAAUAAUGCUAUGUAUAUGUAGGAAGUUGCGGGAACAGUGAAGCUUGAAAAAAAGAGAACUCCUGUAGCACUAAUUGGUAAUUGCAUGUGGAUGCUAUCGUGGAAAAAUGCUCUCAGAUAUAUGUCCUUAUUGGUGAAAACAAAUGUUCCUUUUAAAAGAACAGGGCAACUCUUGUACUUUCCAAGAAGCUGCCGGCCGCCGCUUGAAAACUCAGAUUCCGGCCCAAGGGUUUUCGUCGGGUAGGCAGU